GGUUAUUGGCUGUAUAAAUGUAUAUAUUGUAUUUCCCUUCUGUGUCUUUUAGUUAUGUUGCAGCAGGUCUGGCGAUUGCAGCAGGUGUGUGUCACGCCCCUUACCGGCACCUGUAGUGCAGCCGCGUCAUGGGCUGCUAAUGCAGACCUGUUCAUAUAGUCCCGUGGUUGUUCAGUCUCUCUCUCUCCUCUGCCAAGUAUGUGCCAUGUGUUCGCUCUCCAGGUUGGCGUGUAUGCCGUGAUGGUGUGUGUGUGUCCCCUUCCGGUUAGCCACCGCUGCCGCCGCUAGCUUCUGACGGCUUCAUUAUUUAUUGGUGCAGGCUACAGCCCGCCAUGCAGCCUGCCUGGCGUUAGGUUGCUGUUGUUGCCCUGCCUUGCCUCUUGCCUUUAUCUCCACGUUUUGUUUCUUUUUGUUGCCUUGCUCAUAGUUGCUCUGCCCUCGUCAGUUAGACGCUCGUUUUAAAGUAGUGUACUGUAGUUCAAGACUGACUGACCGCGACUCCUUAGUGGGGGGGUGGGAAGUAGCACAGCUUUGAGGACCUGCAAAAGUUAUGCAUGUAGCAUUAUGGGUUUUGUUUUCUUUUGUGUUGAUUUGAGUUUGUUUGAUAUUUUGUUUGGUUUCUUUUCUCUUUGUUUGCUGUGCAGGACCUCAGCUUAGUUAUCUCCUCAGUCUCAACUUAAGCUGAGUCUGUGGUACAGAUUAAUAUUGUGCUCUUUGGAAAUAAAAAUAACUAUAAUUGUUUUUACAGUAGAUAAGUAACUUAAAUAAAUUAAUGUUUCCAUUUGUGACUAAAUAAAACUUGUUAAACUUUCUAUAAACCGUGCCUGUAUUCAUUUGUGUACCGACCUGUGCUCUGAGAAAGUAAAGUUUGAAAAAGAGUAAAUUCUUUAGGUGCAAGUCCUAAGGUGGCGUUGUUGGUGUAACUCCCUAGAUCAUCCUUUCAUUUAUCGCCCCCACCACAUUUUUGGCGUUGUCGGCAGGAUAAUCACAAUCAGGCACGGUGUAGUUUUAUUGUCGUAACUUUAUUUUAAGCGAAGCAGAGCAAGCUUCGUUUGUUUUUUUCUUUUGUUUGGAGGCAAGGCAGUGGCUUGGGCUGCGGACCGCCCUCCAGGCCAACAGCCGAGGUUCUCCAGGAUGUCGCAGGAACCGCUGGACCUCCAGGCCCUCCAGGGUCGGAUGGAGCAGCUCCAGGCUGAAAAUGACCGCCUACGACGGGAUCGGGAUGUGUCCCAGGCGGGCUCCAGUUCAAGUGGACUGUUGGUGGACUCUGCCGCACCUGAGCGUGUGGUGUAUCUCCCACGCGAGAGACGAUGUCCUGUCUUCAGAGGCAGCCACGGUAUUGGUAUCGAUGAGUGGAUCGAAGAAGUUAAA